GGUCUGGCAUGGGCAGUUUUAAAGGCAUGUUGUGUCCCCUCAGGUCAGUUUGUUGGUUCAUACUCCCCGCGUUCCCCAUGUUUCAGCCGCUCCUCCUGAUACCUUCUUCUCUUCGACUUUAAACUCUCAGACUGACCUCCCACUUCAGGGCGUGAUAAAAACUGGUUGUUAUGGUAACCCUCUUCCGUUCUUGUAGUCAAAAGAUCCUGAAGAUCCAGGUGAACGAUGCCUUUUCUGUGGAUAAAACCGACGCCAUCUACAAUCUGCAGCAUGUAUUUGAUCACCUCCCUCUCAGUCAGCU